GAGGGAUUCCCCUCAGAGUGGCAGCGACUGCGCCACGUUGCUCCCGCGGGGACAGCGGCGGCGGCGAGCGGCGCGUUGGUGUCAUGCCCGUCUGGCGGCGGCACCCGGAGCCCGGCGAGGCGGCGGCGGAGCUCGGAGGCGGCUCCAGCCCAGGGUGCCACCAGCGCCGCUGUAAAGCUGCUCCCGAGGCCGAGCUCCGAAACGCUUUAUCAGCACUCCUGAAAUCUUGGGAGCAAGCUCCUGUUUGUUCCAGGC